rnacentral:rRNA from 1 species
UACGUAGGUCCCGAGCGUUGUCCGGAUUUAUUGGGCGUAAAGCGAGCGCAGGUGGUUUAUUAAGUCUGGUGUAAAAGGCAGUGACUCAACCAUUGUAUGCAUUGGAAACUGGUAGACUUGAGUGCAGGAGAGGAGAGUGGAAUUCCAUGUGUAGCGGUGAAAUGCGUAGAUAUAUGAAGGAACACCGGUGGCGAAAGCGGCUCUCUGGCCUGUAACUGACACUGAGGCUCGAAAGCGUGGGGAGCAAACAGG